UUUUUGGAUUUUUUUUU
rnacentral:sRNA from 1 species